UACGGAGGAUUCAAGCGUUAUCCGGAUUUAUUGGGUUUAAAGGGUGCGUAGGCGGUCGGAUAAGUUAGAGGUGAAAUCCCGAGGCUCAACUUCGGAAUUGCCUCUGAUACUGUUCGGCUAGAGUGUAGUUGCGGUAGGCGGAAUGUAUGGUGUAGCGGUGAAAUGCUUAGAGAUCAUACAGAACACCGAUUGCGAAGGCAGCUUACCAAGCUACUUCUGACGUUGAGGCACGAAAGCGUGGGGAGCAAACAGG
rnacentral:rRNA from 1 species